rnacentral:rRNA from 1 species
GACGAACGCUGGCGGCGUGCUUAACACAUGCAAGUCGAACGGAAAGGCCCUGCUUUUGUGGGGUGCUCGAGUGGCGAACGGGUGAGUAACACGUGAGUAACCUGCCCUUGACUUUGGGAUAACUUCAGGAAACUGGGGCUAAUACCGGAUAGGAGCUCCUGCUGCAUGGUGGGGGUUGGAAAGUUUCGGCGGUUGGGGAUGGACUCGCGGCUUAUCAGCUUGUUGGUGGGGUAGUGGCUUACCAAGGCUUUGACGGGUAGCCGGCCUGAGAGGGUGACCGGCCACAGAGGGAUGGAGGAAGAGCCAGAACUCAAUCGGGGGGGAGGGGGGGGAAAGAUGUAACAGAGGGCGGGAGGCGGGAGGAGCAACCCCGGGUGGGGGAGGGCGGCCGUCGGGAGGGAAACCGAUUUCGCUUAUACCGGAGGGUGAUGACAGUAAAGGGAGAAAAAGCACCGGCUAACUACGUG